rnacentral:misc_RNA from 1 species
UAGUGCCAAUAACAAGACCAUUAUUACUUUAGAAUUUCUUUGUUUUUGUAUCAAAAUUAAACGCACUUGUAACAACAAUAAUAUAUAUAAUUAAAUUAUAGAUGACUUUAUAAGUCAUAAGAAAGUACGUUCUCAGUUGAUAAUGCAGUUUCAAUUGAUACAAAAUCAUAUAAGAACAAGUAUUAAUGUCAGAAAACGCGAAGACGUGUAAUUGUAUAAAUGAAACAAAUUAAAGAAUACGUUAAAUAUAUAAUGAAAUUUAAUCUUUAAUAUUUAAAAUAAAUAAACAAUUAAAUUCAGACAAAAGUGAGAUAAAUACUUUGAUAUUAAACAGGUAUAACGAUUUUCUUUUUCAUAUGUCAUUUACCCCAUAAUUCUUCUUCGAUACAAGGUCACAAAUGAUCAUUGUCCUUUGAGUUAAAUCUCUGUGAACUCAAAAUGAAUAAAAUAGAAUUCUUUUGCGAAGCUUUGAAACGAAUUCGUGCGGAAACUGAAAAUGGUGCUGAUCGAAUAACCGAAGAAGGUGUACUGCCAACAACAAUAAAUGGAACGCCAAUACGGAAAUUGUUUGUUUGUAAUAUAGCACAAAGGACUACAUUUAAAGAUUUGAAUGCAUUAUUUUCUGAAUACGGAAAAGUUGAGAGUGUUUACUUAAAUCCAACAAGCAGUAGAAGUAAUUAUGCAUUUGUUACGUUUAGUACAGUUAUGGGUGCAAUCAGAGCUAGAGAAGCCGGAAGUAAUAAACGUAUUCAUUUACAUAGUAGAGAUUUAAAAGUAAUGCCAGCAGAUCCUUGGCACCAACCGGAUAAAACACAAUUUAAAAAUAAUAAUUCAACAAAGGAUUCGAAUAAAUCUCGUGAAAUGUCUUCGACUAAUAAAACUGAUCAAGACACUGUAGACAAUUCUACAAUUGCUUCAAUAAAUGUAUUAAACGAUGAUUGUUUAAUACACAUUUUUCUUUAUUUACCAAUUAUGGAUAAAAUUGCCAUAGAAAGGGUAUGUCAACGUUGGAAGGAUGUGUCAAAAAAAUCGUGGUAUAGUGUUAAAAAGUUAGAUCUUUCUAAUCAUACGUGGGGAAUAUUAUCAGACUAUAAAAAAAUUAAUACAUCUGAUUUACGUCAAGUAUUAUUGAGAUGCGGUAGAUUUUUAACUCAGAUUGAUUUUCCUCAUAAAUAUCCGUCCUUAACGCGAAGCACUUUGCUCAUCAUUGCCAAAUUGUGUCCUAAUUUAGAAAUAGUUGAUUUCAGUGGAAUCGAAUUGUCUUCCUCGGGAUUAGAAUUAUUAGCUGAUAAUUGUACAAAUAUAAAAAAGCUUAGUUUAGCAUUUUAUCCGUGUUCUUCUUCUCUAAUUGAUAAAGAUUUAUCAUUAUUAUUUCGUAUGUGUAAACGCUUAACUUCCGUGAGUCUUCGUGAAAUGAGAAUAUCGGGCAAAUGUUUAGGAUUUCUUUCAUCGGAUACAUUAGAAGAACUUGUUUUAACUGCUUGUAAUAAUAUCACUCCACGACAUUUUAUUAAUGUCUUAGAAAAUCAGAAGAAUUUAAAAAAAUUGGUUAUCAAUAAGAGCACAUUUUUCAUCGGUGUUUUACUUGAAGCAAUGGCAAAGUAUUGCACAAAUCUUCAACAAUUCGAACUAACUAAUGUAGAUUUUUGUGAAUUUUAUUACCGAGAUUCAAAUAUAUUACAUUUAACAAAAUUUGUUAAUCUUGAAACUCUAAUACUUUCAACAAAUAAUUUUGUAGACAACUUUCUUCUAAUUGCUUUGGCUUCAACGUGUACAAAAUUGACCUACUUAGAUAUCGAAAAUUGCAAUAAAGUUACUGAUACGGGUUUACAAGCUGUGGCAACUUUACCAAAAUUAGAAACUUUAAUAAUUAACUAUUUGAAUGAAAUAACAGCUAUAGGUUUAGACAAUAUGUGUAGCUUAAGACGACUGGAAUGUAAGUAUUGUGUUUCGAUACUGGAUACAGGCUUAACUACCCUUAUUCAUAAAUCGCCUAACUUGGAAUUACUCGAUAUCACUGGUUGCGACCAAAUAACCAAUGAUACUAUUACCGUGGCUGAAUAUGUUACUAGUCGUAGAUCCAAUAAUAUUGUUUUAAAGAUAUACAUGGCUGGAACAAGAGUGACGCGUCAUUAUCAUGCAUCUCCUAAUUUGAUGUUACUUCGUAUCAACACUACAGAUAUGUAGUUUUAAUUGGAAAUAUUUUCAAUUUACUGCCAUUCAUUAUUGUUAGCCAAAGGCUCCAAUGUUCAGCGUGAUCUGAUUAUUUUUCUAUUACAUUACCCCAUUAGAAUCAUCAAGUGCCAGACUACUCAUGGAUGACUUUACCCGUGGGAAAAAUUUUGUUUUUUGCAGUAAAAUAUUCUUACUGGGUCUUGUUUUAUGUGGAUUCACCUUUUUGUAUAUUGCCUAAUCAAAUCAAAAAUCCUACAUUAUAAAUAAUUAUUUCGUAUGUCUUUCGUGAAGAUAUUUAAUAUACGUGCACGUAACUUGUGCACGUAAUGUGAAUGUACAUAUUUAAAAAUUAAUCAUAUAAUAUAAUAUAUUAAUAUAAGAUAUUAUAAUAUUUAGAUCUUAUGACAGAUAUCAAGAGAAUUCCAAUUCUAAUUGGAAUAACAAAAAAAGAAAAAAUGAAAAGGAAAAAUUGGUCAUUCAAUGCCAACAAAUUGAAUAACUUUGAUUACUGAUUUAUAUACAUUUAUAAUAUUUGUACAAGCAUUUAAAAAGAAAACAGAAAAACAAACAAAAAAAUUAUUUGUUACUUUAAACAUCAUUACUGUGUAGUAUCUAUUAAAAGAGAAGUA